UACGGGGGGGGGCAAGCGUUGUUCGGAAUUACUGGGCGUAAAGGGCUCGUAGGCGGCCAACUAAGUCAAACGUGAAAUCCCCUCGGCUUAACCGGGGAACUGCGUCUGAUACUGGAUGGCUUGAGUUUGGGAGAGGGAUGCGGAAUUCCAGGUGUAGCGGUGAAAUGCGUAGAUAUCUGGAGGAACACCGGUGGCGAAGGCGGCAUCCUGGACCGAUACUGACGCUGAGGAGCGAAAGCCAGGGGAGCAAACGGG
rnacentral:rRNA from 1 species